rnacentral:rRNA from 1 species
AUUGAACGCUGGCGGCAGGCCUAACACAUGCAAGUCGAACGAGGGGCGGACGGGUGAGUAAUGUCGGGGAAACUGCCCGAUGGAGGGGGAUAACUACUGGAAACGGUAGCUAAUACCGCAUACCAUCGGAUUGGGCCAGAUGGGAUUAGCUUGUAGGUGGGGUAAUGGCUCACCUUGGCGAAGAUCCCUAGCUGGUCUGAGAGGAUGACCGGCAACACUGGAACUGAGACACGGUCCAGACUCCUACGGAAGGAGGCAGUGGGGAAUAUUGCACAAUGGGCGCAAGCCUGAUGCAGCCAGGCCGCGUGUAUGAAGAAGGCCUUCGGUUUGUAAAGUACUUUCAGCGAGGAGGCGUUACCCGCAGAAGAAGCACCGGCUAACUCCGUGCCAGCAGCCGCGGUAAUAC